rnacentral:rRNA from 1 species
UGCAGUCGAACGCAGUAGCAAUACUGAGUGGCGAACGGGUGAGUAUAAUGUGGGUAUCUGCCUUUUGGUUUGGAAUAACACGAGGAAACUUGUGCUAAUACCGGAUAAGCCUUCACAGGGAAAGUUUUAACGCCAAAAGAUGAGCCCGCACUUGAUUAGCUAGUUGGUAAGGUAAUGGCUUACCAAGGCUACUAUCAAUAACUGAUCUGAUAGGAUGAUCAGCCACAUUGGGACUGACACACGGCCCAAACUUCUACGGAAGGCAGCAGUGGGGAGUCUUGCACAAUGGGGGAAACCCUGAUGCAACGAUGCCGCGUGAGUGAAGAAGGCCUUUGGGUUGUAAAGCUCUUUCGUCGGGGAAGAAAAUGACGGUACCUGAAUAAGAAGAUCCGGCUAACUCCGUGCCACCAGCCGCGGUAAUACGGAGGGAUCUAGCGUUAUUCGGAAUUACUGGGCGUAAAGCGAGCGUAGGCGGAUUUGUAAGUUGGAGGUGAAAUCCCAGAGCUUAACUCUGGAACUGCCUUCAAAACUACAUUUCUUGAGUUUGGUAGAGGAGAGUGGAAUUCCUAGU